AUUGAACGCUGGCGGCAUGCCUUACACAUGCAAGUCGAACGGUAACAGGUCUUCGGAUGCUGACGAGUGGCGAACGGGUGAGUAAUACAUCGGAACGUGCCUAGUAGUGGGGGAUAACUACUCGAAAGAGUGGCUAAUACCGCAUGAGAUCUACGGAUGAAAGCAGGGGAACGCAAGACCUUGUGCUACUAGAGCGGCAGAUGGCAGAUUAGGUAGUUGGUGGGAUAAAAGCUUACCAAGCCGACGAUCUGUAGCUGGUCUGAGAGGACGAUCAGCCACACUGGGACUGAGACACGGCCCAGACCCCUACGGGAGGCAGCAGUGGGGAAUUUUGGACAAUGGGCGAAAGCCUGAUCCAGCAAUGCCGCGUGCAGGAUGAAGGCCUUCGGGUUGUAAACUGCUUUUGUACGGAACGAAAAGCCCCGGGUUAAUACCCUGGGGUCAUGACGGUACCGUAAGAAUAAGCACCGGCUAACUACGUGCCAGCCGCCGCGGUAA
rnacentral:rRNA from 1 species